CGCGCAGUUCUAUGCCUUUGAGAAACAUACCAUCCUAUCACUACCACCGCAAUCAAAUAUACAUUUUAAAUUUUUUUUAGUUUUUAUUUUCAUUAGCUCAUGUUUGCAGUCCGUAAUGAUUAUGUUCAUGGUGGAGAGUUGGCACAUAUAAAUAACAAAUCUUAUUUUUUCUUUUUGCAUCUUAAUAAAUUACAUUUCUGGUAUACUAAAAAAUACCAUUGUGCCGCUCGUUCCCUUAAUCCCAAUCCAUGCCAGCUCAUUUCUGAUUCCCUUCCCUAUCGUUUGCCUCAUCCAAAAUCGUCUUUCACUCAGUUUAAGGCUUUAGAGCGCAUCCCUGGGCUGUGUCUAGUCGUGACGUUGGUACUGCCGAGUAGUCUUCCUGGUGUGAAGAGGUGACCCUGCAUUCAUCAGCUGACAGGCACAUGGGUGCUUCCACUAUUGGGGAUUAUGAGUGCGACCGGUAUAAUCAUCAUUUGCACAAAAGUCUUUUGGCUGACAUGUUUUUCUCAUCGGUAGGACUGUGGGGCUAGUGACAUGUAAAUUUAAUACAAAGCUGCCAAACUGUUUAAAAUAUAAAGUGAAUACGACUGGUGAACUGAGGCAGGAGGGUCUGAUGGAGAUGACUGAACAAGUGCUGCCUGGGGUACUCAGGAUCUAGCAAUAGACUGGAUUUAGCCAGGAAAUCCUUCUGGGCAUGCCUGCGGGGCUUUCCAGAGAUGACUAGCUUUUGGGCCAGCAAGCCAAGGAAGGUGCCCCACCCUACUGACUGUGGGUGGCACCACUCCCUAGGUUUAUACCCUGUGGGAAUGAAAGGGAGAGGAGGAGGAAGUAGCCUGCAUUUGUAAACCUUCCCUCCAUUCUGCUUGGGUGAGUGUGUCUUUUGCUGCUGCUGUCAUCUGUGGACACCAAGCUCCAGGGUCUUCAAUUUCUCCCCGAGGACUCAUACCAACAACUCUUCAGGGAGCUUCCAGACCUUCAGUUGGUGCUGCAGCCUGGGUCCAUCUUGUCCUUUGGCUCCUUGAGCUGAGUCACUACACAAUUUUCUGACUCUCCAGCCCACGGCCAGCCAUUGUGGACAUCUUGCCCCUGAUCCUCCCUUGUUUUUGCUGUUUUCCACCACCAAGAACUGUUGCCUCUUCCAUGUGCUACCCUGCCUGAGAGCCAGCAGAUUAUGGACUGAAACCUCCACAAAAUGUGAGCUAAUUUGACCCACGCAGCUCCAUUUCAGUGGAGAAAAAAGCAGGAGAUACACGCUGAGGAGCCCAGUGGCUGCAACAGGCAUCCACCAAGGCACAGCUGAUGGAGCCCAUCUCUUCUGGAAGGCACCAGCAAGCACAACUUCAGGUGAGGCCCAGGGUCCCUCUGCACUGGAACAAUCAGAGGGGCACAUCUAACCAGUGAAGAGGGUCCCUUAAGCCACCUGAGAAUCUGCAUUUGUCACAAGCUGUACCUGGCGCUUCUGACUCACAAUAAGGCUUGAGGCAAGGUCUUUGGCAUCCUCCACAUGGGAAUCGUAAAGUCAGCAGUGCAUUUGCAAGGCCAAGCAACAGCAAAUGUGUUGUACCCCCAAAUGCAGCCCUCCACUGACAAGGGAUUAACCAGUUGGAAUUCGCUCCACCUCCACAGCCUGACUCACUUUACUUCAUGAUACUUGGUGCUCAAAUGGGCACCACGAGGACAGGGCAUGAUAGGACAUAACACCCAGCCACAGGCUGUGGAUUUAAACAAAGCAGUUCCCAGCACUCAGGAGGCUGAGGCAGGAGAAUCACCAAAUCACCAAAGGAUAUAGAAGCUUGCACUCUGAAGGCAGAGGAGACUUAUGGGAAGAGGCUUCUGCUCCAGCUCAUUCUUCCCCCAGGUGGCAUCUCUGAAUUCUGAAUGUUUCCCCAGUCCCCAAGACUGCCACUCACUCUCCUUCCUCUUCCCCAGGUCCUCCUAGGGACCGUUCCUGCUCAUUCUCCCAAAGGAGCUGUCAGGCUACUCUGGAGGCCUUGGGAGAAGCUUCCUGACAUGAAAUUCACCAAAUGAACUUCAGUUUAUAAAGAGUAAGACAGCCAGGGGUAGCACUGCAUGCCUGUAACCCCAGGAUUCUGGGAAGCUGAGGCAGGAGGAUCGCAAGUUCAAAUCUAGCCUGGGCAAUUUAGCGAGCUCCUGUUUGAAAACAACAACAACAACAAAAGUUUAAAGAAGACCAGGAUGGGGCUGGGGAUUUAGCUCAGCGGCAUAAGUGCCUGCCUUGCAAGCAGGCAGUCGUGAGUUCUAUCCCCGGUACCGAUAAAAAGGAAAAAGACAAAAAAAAAAAAAAAAAAAAAAAGACCAGGAUAUAGCACAGUACCAAGGCCCUGGGUUCAGUUCUCAGUACCACGUUAAAGAGAGCAAAGAAGGACUUACUCAGGCCCAUUUUAAAAUCACACAUCCUAAAUCAGGACUCAUGUAGAGAAAUCGUGUUAAACACCUUCCGACAUGAACACAGUCGAAAGCACCCUAGAGUAGUCGGGAGCUCGCAGCCUCUGCAAACCAGGACCACGCCUCCAGCCCCCCAGCCUCUGGGGGGCGCUGCCAAGCAGUGCCAUCGGCCCGGGAGCCUCUGGCCUGGCUCACGUUUCACGUUUCCCUUUUGCGUAACUCUGCGUCGGAAGUCCGAUAUAGAGCAGCUGAGAAGUAAAUGAUAUUGGCCAGGCUGAAGAGCAAGCACAGGAGCAGGGCGGCCGCUAUCUGUGGGAAGGACAGGGGCUGUGACACGGCGAGCAGCCACUCCCUCCUCAGCGCCUUGUCCAGCAGGAUGGCCUCCGUCUGCAUGUGCGUGGCCACGAUCACGCACACGUGGAACAGCUGGUGGCUGUGACCUGCGGCAACACACAAGGGCCUCAGUGGUCAUUGCAUGGUGGCCUCGGUCAAGGGCCGCGUGGUGGCUGUCACUCAGCGGAAGCGGCAGGGGAGUCAGGACAUUCACAGCGGUGGCUGCAGCAAAGGUGGGAUAGGGACUCAGUCCCGGGGCACAGAUCAGUGGUGACCACCGUACUCGGGAAGAUGGACUAAAAGUGUCAGUGGGUGUCUGCUGGACACUGAGAGAUGAUUUAAUCCACAAAAUACACCUUAAUAAAUCUAUCUUUAAAAAGCAAUAGGAGCUAGGCGUGGCAGCUCACACCUAUAAACUCAGUAUCGGGAGGCAGGAGGAUCGCAGUGAGUUUGAAGCCAGACUGGGCUACCUAGUGAGACCUUGUCUGGUAAAACCCCAGAAGUACAACAAAACAAAAAAAGAAGAAAUAGAAAAAACAAAACAAAACAUGGGUUCUCUUUUGGUGAGACUGAAAGGAAAGCUGUGUGGUAAACAGACCUAUCUCAGGAGACACCUAGGAGGACCCCGGCCUCCAUGCAGGAGCAGAGGCCAGAACGAGGGCUGAGAAUCCAGUGGAGGCCCAGUGAGUUCCUCAGGGCCCCUUUCUGUCCCCAGGAGGAAGGGACACCUAAGGUACCAGCCUGGCCUUGCUCAGGCUGAAGUUGAGGGCCGUGUGUGCCCCUUGGUCUGUGUGUCCUGCAGCAAAGCGACUUCUCCACGCUGCUUCUCCUGGGGAGGCCACAGAUGAAGAACAGAAGGAGCCCAGGCCCUGGGGAGCUGACCCAAGGCUGCAGAGGAAAGGGCUUCCUCCACCUGGCCUGACAGGAAUGCGAGGUGUCCCACUUGGGGCCACCAGGCUGGGCCAUCAGUUCCCCCAGGGGCCUGGCUCCUACUGAGCAGAGUCAGUGACUCAGAAUGGGGCCUUCCCCAAUGUCUGGUUCCCACCUGUCAUCACGAGUCACCCAGCUCUGCCCCCUUGGCCCUGAGAGGACAUGGCAGAGCUGAACAGCAGGACACCUGAGAAGCCAGUGCUGACGAGAGAAUACCCAGGGUGUUUCCCCAUCACCUCCAACUUGGUUUACAGCCCCAUCUCUACUACUUCUAAGUGUGGGGGCAGCGGCCAGGCAGGCAGGAGCGCUGGGCCUGGACAGUGACAUCCAGAGUAGCUCCUGUCCCUUUCCCUGCAGCCCCACCUCCCGUCAGCCCUUUGCAGCCACAGCAUCAGGGCAGCCUCUCCCCAGCAGGAGGCCCCACCCACUCACCGAUGUAGUCAAAGCGACCUGGGGCCAGGCGCUCGGGCAGGUGUGUGGAAUACAGCAGAGUGGCCAGUAGGGUCAUGGCCAUGUGCCUCUGGUGGUGCAGGACGGCCUCAUUCUGGGCGCUGACCCCCGGGAACAGGAAGAGCUGCAGGUGUGUAGGGAAACAUCGGGCCUUGAGAGGGGGCCAGGCCUCAGGCUCCUCCCUUCUGGGAGCCUGCAGGAGGCCCGCAUGUCUCAGGCCUGAGCCCAGGGGAAGACACGCAGGACGGGCCACAGGACUUCUGCUCCUAGUGAACCAGGUGAGGUCCAGCCAGCGCCAUUCCACCCCCACAUGCUCCUUCGGGCCUUGGGUUAUUCAGUUAUGAAAGAAAAGAAAGAGGGAGGGGUAGGGGAAGAGAAAGGAAGGAAGGGAAAAGAAAAUUCAUACUGCAGUUUUGCUGCUCUUUUGGGGAGUAGCAGUCAGUAGAAUAGGAAGUUGUCUCUUCACACCUGAGCUCAAUUUUUUUGUUUUAUUUUUAUUUUGAGACAGGAUCUCAUUAUUAGUUCAGGCUGGCCUUAGACUCACUAUAUAUACAGCCCAGGCUGGCCUCCAACUCAGCAGUGAUCCUCCUGUCUCAGCCUCCUGAGUGCUAGGCCUACAGGCAUGCUCUGCCACACCAGCGCUAUCCCUCCUCUAAGACCCUUAUUCACCACACUUUCCUUCAAUAGCAAUCACACAUUAACUGAUGAUCAUAUAAGAUAAGCACGGAUUAGACACUUUGCCACUAGCUGGCACUGUACACUGUAUCUUGGAAUCCUCCACACACCCGCAAGUGGCGUGAUAACAUUUCACAGAUGGGGGAAAUUGAGGCACAGAGAUUUUGCCCAGGACUGGCAGCGAGUACCACAGCUUCACCCCCAGAACCUGCUCCCAGCUCCCCUCACCAAAUCACAGGCUGCCGGCCCCGCCUGACUACCAGGUCUGCAGGUCCUGCAAUGCCCAGUGUGCUCGCCUAACCCCCAGCUGCUCAGGCUUCCCUGGACCCCCGCUGCCUCCAACAGGCACAAGGACGCAGCUGUCCUUACCCUGUAGAAGAUGGGGAGAGAGUCCCAGAGGUAGGGGUAGGCGAAGGCCAGGAUACGCAGCACCUUGGAAAGCCUAGGCUUGUGGACUUCAAGGAACCUGAGUCAGGGAGGAGAAGGAGGAAACAGAGACAGAAGGAAUUUCAGGCGCUCACGCACAUACAUACCAAUAAACCGUGCGCUGUCACCCACACAGCACAAGCAUUUUGCACAACCUCCUGUGGCCAGCAGCUCCUUCCCUAGCCCCUGCCAUCUCCUCCUUCAAGGAAGCGACAAACCCUGGGCUGUGGAACUCAUCCUGCAAGGAGCUUUCUGAAAGCCCAAUGGCCAUCAGGACAGGGGUGGGGGCUGGCACAGACCCUCAGGAGCACAUGGUGCUAGACUGAGCCACAUCUAACCAGAGGAGCUCCCAGGUGAUGCCCAGGGGGAGACCCACGUUUGCCAGGUACCAGGCCGCCUGGAGGAUUCCUGGGGUGUUUAUUCUGCAUGCAGUUGGCAGCCUGGGUGCCAGGAAGGCCAUAGACUCUGAACCGAGGCUCUGAUUAGGAAGCCCUGGUGGGCCCCAGCUGGGCCAUCAAGGCUGCAUGCAUGUCCUGGGCCACAGGGCUGCAGAUGGGGUCUCCAGGCUCAGCAUGGGUGGCAGGCAGAAGCCACUGAAGACCCUUACCUCCCAGCCUUUACUGGCAGCUCUGUCCUGGUGCUGUGCCCUGUCAGCAGCACCCCAGACCCUCUGCCCCAGCCCACAAGCCGGCCCAGACUGCCCUCUCUCCAGCACCAUCUGCUGCUCUCACUAGCACCUGUGAUCCCAGCACUCCCUCUGGCAGGGUGUCUCUGCUUGACCCAAGACAGACACCUGACAGCAUCCCAGCAGCACCUAGAGAGACUUCCCCAAAGGCAGAGGCCAGGGCUGGCAGGUCAGGCUCUCCACAGCCUGCUGCAAAGCUGCCUGAGGUCCAUCCCCAGCCCUGAGUGCAUGGGGCAGAGAAGGCGAUUCCUGUUCCAGGGAGGGGACAGGCCACCCUGCACCCCAAGACACACCCAGCUCCAGAGACAAACCCCAGCUUCCCUCUAGCUGGCCGCAGCUUUCUUUUCUCCUGGCUCUGCCCUUGCUUGGGAAACACAGCAGGGUUGGGGUGCAGAAGGAAGGGAAGCUGGCAGGGAGAGGAGGAAAGCUGGCGGGGAGAGGAGGAAAGCAAGGGCCCGCAGUUUCUCACUCCCAAAAGGAAGCACAGCCUCUAUGAAAUCAUGCAGAAAAGGUGGCCAUGCCGCAUAGCAGUGUCACAGCAGCAGGUGGGCAGGUCUCCCUGUACCCCAAGGCCUCAUGGGCAACCGGGGUGGGCAAAUGACUGCUCCCCACUCACACCGCAGGCUCAGGACCCAAUGGGACAAGGUCCCAAGGGUGAAUAAAGGCCUGCAAAGCCUGGCUCCCCAUGCAGUUUGAAAAAAGCAUGCGUGUGAGUCUGUGUCCUCUCCCAUCUCAGGGCUGCACUGGGGCCAGAAAGAAGGGGUGAGAGGGCUGAAGGCUCUAGGUGCUUCCCCUGAAGUCGUGAGGGAGGGUUUAGCCCAGGGCAUCGACCACCCACCCCCAACUUUCUCAUGCCCUGCUUCUUCCGUACCUCUGACUCGGGGCCAAAAGGUGCACACACCCACCAUCCCAGGGGCCCGGGCGCCUGCCUCAGCCUACCCUGGCAGAUGCUGCCUGGGCGUGCAAGGUCCCCUGGGCACAGCCACCACAAGCCAUUUACCAGACAGAGAGCUGUUUCGGACCUGGGUUCCCCACAGCCGCUCACCCAGGGGCCGGGGAGUGGCUGCAAGGUGCAACUUGAGAAAUCGAACCUGGCCUGAAAAAAUGUUUCCCCAGGGGCAAACAGAUCAGCUAGUUCAGCUGCAGAGCCAAGUUCACAGGUGGAGAGAGAAACGGCAGAACAACGGAGAGAACAACAGGAGGAAAAAGCACAGCACUGGAAGCCAGAGCUGCUUCCAAUACCAAGGUACCAAUACCAAGGUGCAAUUCCACAUCAGGCCACAGGGUGUCGCCACAGCCAGAGGAACCAGGAGCGACCUCCUGCACACCCUAAAAACCCCAAAGCACCCCCAUCUCUGCAUUCUAGGAUGAGGGGCUGGUUCCUAGGAAGCCGGACCUCCUGCAUCCAGAACAAGGGUGGCCGGAAACACGAGAUUAGGGGAGAAGCGUCCCUAAGGAUAGGGUUGAUCAGAUACAGCUGUGAUGCAGCUGAAAGGAUUAACAGCUGGAAUUUGAGGCCUUCAGCUGCAGGGAGAGGGCUUGUGUUUCCUCACUCCAUCCCUCAAAUGCUACGGCAUGGCACACAGAGGCUGCUGUCUGAGCAUUCUCAUCUCAACCCAUCCCAAGACACCAGGGGCCAAAUGCCUGGCCAUGGCAGCCGGGGCCCAGGCCCUGCUCUCAGUCCUCUGGUCCUGAACUCAUCAGGACCAGCGGCUCUGUCACUCCCCAACGUGGGGGAAGUGAGACAGGCCUGGUAAGAGCAGGGACACCUCUGAGGACCUGGAGAUAGGGAGAGAUCACUGUCACCACAGUGUUCCCCAGCCGUCCUGAGGCCCCUUGCUGUCUCCGAAACCUGAGCCCAAAGGCCUUUUCUUCCCUCCCUUGAGGCAGAAGUGUCCACCUCCCUCCAUGCUCAUGCCUGAGGCCAUUGCUAGGGCCCUGGGUCCCCAGGCAGUUGACACUCUGCCCACUAUACUCUAAUAGAAGGGCGGCCUCUCCUGGACUCUGGGGAGUCUGUGAAUGGCUCUGCCCUUCACCCUCCAAGGUCAAGGGCAGGACUUGCUCCUCGCUGCAGCUCCAGACAGGGCCUGAGAGGCCGUGCUGCUGCCCACCAUGGAGCCACCUCAGUCCCUGGAGCAGUCUGUGCUCCCCCCAGCCCCUUCCCAGCUGGUACCUGGAAUAGCAGGAGAGGCCAGUGCUGAGGCUAGUGUUGAACACGGCCAGGGCCACGUAGUAGUCCCGGAAGGCCGAGCGCACCAGCACGUCCGGGAAGGUGUACGCGGAGUAGGCAAUGGCCGAGCCUGGAGGAAGAACCAGCUGUGGGAAGGAGGCCAGGCCCGGGCACCGCAGGGACCCCUGACCACCUCCCAUCAUCCCUCUGCCCGAGAACGAACUGCUUUGUACAUGCUAACUCAUUUAUUCUUUACAGCAUAGAGAGGUUUAGUAUCACAGCAAGGGGCACACAGCCAGCAUGGGGCAAGGCCCAGCCUCAAGCAGGCACCUCAGCAAGAGUGUCCGCCCCUGACCACAGUGCUGUCCCCACUGUGCCCAGCUUACGUCUGAGUGUCACAGCUCACCAGCCCCUUCAGUGACACUGGGGUGAGAGGGUGUGAGGGGGAGAAGGGGCUGGGGGUGGAGCUCUGUUCCUGGUCAGGGGGUCUUUAGGAGUUACAGGCCUAUCAGGAAGAGUAGGGAGGCCUUUGUGAGGGUCAGUCCAAGGUCAUGGUGAGCCCCAGACAUGAAGAACCAGGAUGGGCAGUGGCCACGCAGGCUCAACCUCUGCUCCCGAGGGCUGUGGCAGGGCUGUCACUCGGAUGGAGGCCACGCCCCUAAGUGUCCCCAGGAGGGGCCUGGGGUAGCCAAGCCCUCCCAGCUGCCACUGCCCGGUACAUGCUGACAGCCAAAGGUGUGCAGCAAACACGGGUGCGACACAAGUGCCAGGGGCCUCAGAUCUGCUCAAACUACAGCAGAGCUGGCCACAGCCUCAGGACAGAGCCCGAGGGCAGGGAAGGCUGGGUGUAGGCCCAGUAAAGGGAGCUUCCUCUGGCCACAGCGAGGACCUCAGGUCUGUCCAGGUCUGUGGAACUGCUAUGGGACAGCUUGUCCAUGUCCCCACUACUCUGCACCUUGCCAUGUCACACAGGGAGCUGGAAGUGAGCUGCGGGAGAGCAUCUGCACCCUAGAAAUCAGCAAACACUGCAGACCAAGCUAGGGUCUCCAGACAGCCAGGUGCUGGCUCUAAACCUUACAAAACCCUCAACAGCACCUAGGCAAGGCCCUGGCCUCCACUGAUUCCCCGAAAACCCACGAAAGUCUGCUGGGAGCCCAGCUCGAAGGGUGGGGGUGCCAAGCCUGUACCCAGGCUGAAGAGAUUGACGGCACCAUAGUCCAGGAAGUAGCAGAUGUGCCGGGCAUUCUUGGACAUGGAGCUGAAGGUGUGCGCGCAGCUGGAUGCCAGGGGGUACACACAACUGGUGCACAUGUACACAAGCAUGGGCCAUGAGUAGCUGUCAUUCCAGAUGUCUGUCAUGCACAGCACAGUCACAAACCUCCACGCAAAGAACCUGAAACACAGCAUGGAUCACCUGGUCAUCUUAGACGCCUAACCCAUCUUCCUGCAAGCCUUUGUUCUAGGGAAAUACCGCCAGGCAGGGAGGGUGGGAUCCCCCCAACUGCAUCUUACUCGAUUGAUUCCCUAGCUUCUCUUGCAUACCUCCAAAGGUGGGGGGCUCACCAUCUCCCAUGGCAAUUCUGAGUAUUAGGUUAGGGCCAACACACAGCUGCCUGUCACUGACAUGUAGGGUCCCCCACCACUCUGUAUCUCACUACCACAAACUACUGCUGGGGGGCCAGCUCCUGCUCCAGGAAGGAGGCUAUGAAGCCCUGCAGCUGGGAAAAGGAGUGUGGAUAAACCCCCUGGCUACACUUGCAGCUUUCUCCUCCAGCUGCAGCAGGAAGACUUGGCCAGUUUAACUGGCUUUUGCUUUUCGCUUUUUUAAAAAAUUUAAUCUCAAGCUUGCUCCAUAGGCUGUUUUCUCUAAGGUGUCUUCAGGUGCAUUUGCCGUCGGCUUCUAAUAUGCUAGGCUGCUGAAUCAGGAUGUAUCUAAAAGCCUAGCCUGUGUGUUGGGGAGCCGUUACAGUGUUGGGGGGCCUGUUUGGCUCCACUUUAAAACAGCUGGAAAGUCAUCCCCCCAGGAUCUGUGCAUGGCCCUGUGGGCCCCGCACUGUGGAGCGGCACAAAUCUCAAACCAGCCUGAGCCAAGCUUGCUCCAUCCACAGAUCAGAAACCCCUGCGGGGGGUCCCUUCCAUCCUGGAAGAGCUCAAGAUGACACGAGGAACAGGGAGGAGAACUAGGCACCCCAAUAACCUCCGGGAGGAGAACUAGGUCCCAACCGUGCCCUUCCGCAAUGUUACAGGUUAGUACAUGAAGCCUUUGUAUACGUACAAAGUUAACAUCAUUUAAGUGCCCUCCUUAGCAGGACUUGCUGUCCCCUUGCUCAGGCUGCAGAGCCCUGGGCUGUCAGGCCUCACUACUGAUCCCCCUGCUCCCCCUCUAGCACCCCAGAAAGAAGCUGCCUUGGCCCUGCACAGAGUGGCUGCAGGACCAGCCUCCUCUGCUUCUGGCCCUGGCUGUGUCUUUGGACUUCUGGUCAGGCUGACCAGCCACCACCUGUACUCUGGAUCUCUUUCACUCUGUGUCUCCUAUGAUCUUCAUGGCCCAAAUGACCCCCAUGGCCCGCCCAGCUCUGGUACUCACUGCCCCACCCUGUCUGUGGGUUCCAUGUCCUAUCCUUGGACUCAAGCAACCACAAAUCAAAAUAUGCAAGGGCUAAACCUGCAUUCAUGUGAAGCAUGCACACUCUUCCCUCCCAUUCCCUAAGCCAUGCCACAGAGCUUCGUGUCACCCCGGGAAGUCUCAGUAGCCUGCAGAUGGUGUGCAGCAUGCAGAGGCUGUGCACAGGAGACAAACAGAUGCGCUGCUGCUUUGCAUGAAGUAUGCACAGACUUCGGUAUGGACAGGGUCCAUGGACAGUCCCUAAGGACACUGGGACAGCCAUGUGACGACAUGGUCGAGGGUGCCCUCUCAGCUCUGUGCUCCUCAGGUGAGGUGGGUGUGUGACAAGGACCCCCAGAGCUGACACCCACUGCCUGGGGCCCAGAACCUUUACUCAUCUUCCCCCUGUCCUCAUGGCCACCCCAGGACAGUCACGCACCCUGCAGGCCACAUCUGCUUCACAGCAGCAAUGCGCCAAGCUCAGAAGGGUUAAGCGACUUGUGCAGGCCAGUGAUGUUUUAACCAGGUCCCACAAAGCCUCCACCACUGAAGGGGGCUCAGUGCUCAAGGCCCCCUGGAAUCCCAUGACUCAUGCCCUAAGACUCAUCCUGUGGCAGGCCCAGCCUCUCCCCUCCACCCCACAUUACCCACACCCAAGGGGGCAGUAUCCCCAACCCCAGUAUAGGCUCUCAGACUCCCAAACCCAGCUGUGUUUUUUUGUUUGUUUGUUUUUCUUUUUCUUUUUGAGACAAAGUCUCGCUAUGCAGUUCAGGCUGACCUGGAGCUCCUUGGUAGCCCAGGCUGAUCCUGGAACUUACAAUGAUUCACCUGCCUCAGCCUCCCAACUGCUGAGAUUAUAGGUAUGCGCCACCUCACCCAGUUACCCACUUGUGUUUUAAAGUACCCGUGGUCCCUGGGGUCCCAAAUGGUCAAGGGGGCAGGAAGAUACCAAAAGGGCAGCAAGUGGGUCCAGAUGUUGAGGGUCUCAUUGGUCAGCUGGAACAGGCUGAGCAGACAGGCAGCGGCAGAGCUUUGUGGAUGCCGGUAGCCAAAGAGGAUGCCCCGCUCAUGGAACACCUGCGGAGAGAGGGCAGAGUCUCAGGCCAGCCCCACAGCCAUGCCCAGGUUCCCUGCAGCCGGACCCACCCCGCCCUGUGGAUAGCCCCAUGGUCUCUCUCUGCCCUGCCUGGGCUGAGCUCUGAAAUCCCUCAUCUCCAAGAAUUGCAGACGUGCUUACUCUUGGCAUGAAUAUCGCCCAAGGAUCCAAGUUUGCCCUCUCCGCCUGGGGUCCACAGCUGGUCUUCAGGAACACGGUCUUCUUUAGAGCUUGGCUAACAUAGGUGCUGCCAUCAGAGUCCGCAGGGCCCAGGGUAGGGGCCGGCAGAGAGAGCUCAAGGCACGCCCCGCCCCCCCAGCGCCAUGGCAUCCCAGCAUGCUUCACAAAGGCCUUUUGAUGAUGGAGCCCAUGACACUCAUGCCUACAUUGUGGCCUGGCUGCCACAGGGCCACAGAGCUGCCCAUAACCACAGAAAGCCCUCUGAGCAAGCUCCCCAAAACUAUGGGGUACCCACCUCCUUUGCAAAGGGCUCUGUAUGGAGCAGAUCUUCAUGGAGAGAACACGUGCCGCGAACACCCCAGCUCUGCAUUCCAAGCCAACCCCAGCCGGCGCCAGCCCACCAUCAGCUCCGGACCCCACAGCACGGUCUCGGCUCCAGGCACCCAGGUCUACAGCCGCUGCUCAUCUACACAGUGGAACUGAU